UGGCUCAAUGGUUAAGAGCACUGACUGUUUUGGCAGAGGACCUGGGUUCAAUUCCCAG
rnacentral:tRNA from 1 species